rnacentral:ncRNA from 1 species
GAACAUAAGAGUUUGAUCCUGGCUCAGAUUGAACGCUGGCGGCAUGCUUUACACAUGCAAGUCGGACGGCAGCACAGAGAAGCUUGCUUCUUGGGUGGCGAGUGGCGAACGGGUGAGUAAUGUAUUGGAACGUACCGAGUAAUGGGGGAUAACCAAUCGAAAGAUUGGCUAAUACCGCAUACGUCCUGAGGGGGAAAGCGGGGGAUCUUCGGACCUCGCGUUAUUCGAGCGGCCAAUAUCUGAUUAGCUGGUUGGUGGGGUAAAGGCCUACCAAGGCGACGAUCAGUAGCGGGUCUGAGAGGAUGAUCCGCCACACUGGGACUGAGACACGGCCCAGACUCCUACGGGAGGCAGCAGUGGGGAAUUUUGGACAAUGGGCGCAAGCCUGAUCCAGCCAUGCCGCGUGUCUGAAGAAGGCCUUCGGGUUGUAAAGGACUUUUGUCAGGGAAGAAAAGGCUUUUGAUAAUACCAGGAGCUGAUGACGGUACCUGAAGAAUAAGCACCGGCUAACUACGUGCCAGCAGCCGCGGUAAUACGUAGGGUGCGAGCGUUAAUCGGAAUUACUGGGCGUAAAGCGGGCGCAGACGGUUUGUUAAGCAGGAUGUGAAAUCCCCGGGCUCAACCCGGGAACUGCGUUCUGAACUGGCAGGCUAGAGUGUGUCAGAGGGGGGUAGAAUUCCACGUGUAGCAGUGAAAUGCGUAGAGAUGUGGAGGAAUACCGAUGGCGAAGGCAGCCCCCUGGGAUAACACUGACGUUCAUGCCCGAAAGCGUGGGUAGCAAACAGGAUUAGAUACCCUGGUAGUCCACGCCCUAAACGAUGUCGAUUAGCUGUUGGGCAGCUUGACUGCUUAGUAGCGUAGCUAACGCGUGAAAUCGACCGCCUGGGGAGUACGGUCGCAAGAUUAAAACUCAAAGGAAUUGACGGGGACCCGCACAAGCGGUGGAUGAUGUGGAUUAAUUCGAUGCAACGCGAAGAACCUUACCUGGUCUUGACAUGUACGGAAUCCUCCAGAGACGGAGGAGUGCCUUCGGGAGCCGUAACACAGGUGCUGCAUGGCUUUCGUCAGCUCGUGUCGUGAGAUGUUGGGUUAAGUCCCGCAACGAGCGCAACCCUUGUCAUUAGUUGCCAUCAUUAAGUUGGGCACUCUAAUGAGACUGCCGGUGACAAACCGGAGGAAGG